AUUGAACGCUGGCGGCGUGCUUAACACAUGCAAGUCGAUCGGUAACAGGUGUAGCAAUACAUGCUGACGAGAGGCGGACGGGUGAGGAAUAUUUGGGAAUCUGCCCAUCAGCGGGGGACAACCCGGGGAAACCCGGGCUAAUACCGCAUACGCUCUACGGAGGAAAGCCGGGGACCGCAAGGCCUGGCACUGAUGGAUGAGCCCAAAUCGGAUUAGCUAGUUGGCGGGGUAACGGCCCACCAAGGCGACGAUCCGUAGCUGGUCUGAGAGGACGAUCAGCCAAACCGGAACUGAGACACGGCCCGGACUCCUACGGGAGGCAGCAGUGGGGAAUAUUGGACAAUGGGGGAAACCCUGAUCCAGCGACGCCGCGUGGGUGAAGAAGGCCUGCGGGUUGUAAAGCCCUUUCGGUAGGGACGAAAGCUCUUGCUCUAACAAAGCAGGAGGUUGACUUAACCUACAUAAGAAGCACCGGCUAACUCUGUGCCAGCCGCCGCAGUAAAAC
rnacentral:rRNA from 1 species